rnacentral:rRNA from 1 species
AUUGAACGCUGGCGGCAGGCCUAACACAUGCAAGUCGAGCGGUUGAGAGUAGCUUGCUACUUGAUGCAGCGGCGGACGGGUGAGUAACGCGUGGGAAUCUGCCUAUUAGUGGGGGACAACAUCUCGAAAGGGAUGCUAAUACCGCAUACGUCCUACGGGAGAAAGCAGGGGAUCUUCGGACCUUGCGCUAAUAGAUGAGCCUAAGUCGGAUUAGCUAGUUGGUGGGGUAAAGGCCUACCAAGGCGACGAUCUGUAGCGGGUCUGAGAGGAUGAUCCGACACACUGGGACUGAGACACGGCCCAGACUCCUACGGGAGGCAGCAGUGGGGAAUAUUGGACAAUGGGGGGAACCCUGAUCCAGCCAUGCCGCGUGUGUGAAGAAGGCCUUAUGGUUGUAAAGCACUUUAAGCGAGGAGGAGGCUACUCUAGUUAAUACCUAGGGAUAGUGGACGUUACUCGCAGAAUAAGCACCGGCUAACUCUGUGCCAGCCGCCGCAGUAAUAC